UACGGAGGGUGCGAGCGUUAAUCGGAAUUACUGGGCGUAAAGCGCGCGUAGGCGGUUUGUUAAGUCAGCUGUGAAAGCCCCGGGCUUAACCUGGGAACUGCAGUUGAUACUGGCCGACUAGGGUACGAGAGAGGGAGGUAGAAUUCCAUGUGUAGCGGUGAAAUGCGUAGAUAUAUGGAGGAAUACCGGUGGCGAAGGCGGCCUCCUGGCUCGAUACUGACGCUGAGGUGCGAAAGCGUGGGGAUCAAACAGG
rnacentral:rRNA from 1 species